rnacentral:rRNA from 1 species
ACGAGCUCAGAGUUUGAUCAUGGCUCAGAUUGAACGCUGGCGGCAGGCCUAACACAUGCAAGUCGAGCGGCAGCACGGGUACUUGUACCUGGUGGCGAGCGGCGGACGGGUGAGUAAUGCCUAGGAAUCUGCCUGGUAGUGGGGGAUAACGUUCGGAAACGGACGCUAAUACCGCAUACGUCCUACGGGAGAAAGUGGGGGAUCUUCGGACCUCACGCUAUCAGAUGAGCCUAGGUCGGAUUANCUAGUUGGUGAGGUAAUGGCUCACCAAGGCGACGAUCCGUAACUGGUCUGAGAGGAUGAUCAGUCACACUGGAACUGAGACACGGUCCAGANUUCCUACGGGAGGCAGCAGUGGGGAAUAUUGGACAAUGGGCGAAAGCCUGAUCCAGCCAUGCCGCGUGUGUGAAGAAGGUCUUCGGAUUGUAAAGCACUUUAAGUUGGGAGGAAGGCAUUAACCUAAUACGUUGGUGUUUUGACGUUACCGACAGAAUAAGCACCGGCUAACUCUGUGCCAGCAGCCGCGGUAAUACAGAGGGUGCAAGCGUUAAUCGGAAUUACUGGGCGUAAAGCGCGCGUANGUGGUUUGUUAAGUUGAAUGUGAAAUCCCCGGGCUCAACCUGGGAACUGCAUCCAAAACUGGCAAGCUAGAGUAUGGUAGAGGGUGGUGGAAUUUCCUGUGUAGCGGUGAAAUGCGUAGAUAUAGGAAGGAACACCAGUGGCGAAGGCGACCACCUGGACUGAUACUGACACUGAGGUGCGAAAGCGUGGGGAGCAAACAGGAUUAGAUACCCUGGUAGUCCACGCCGUAAACGAUGUCAACUAGCCGUUGGGAGCCUUGAGCUCUUAGUGGCGCAGCUAACGCAUUAAGUUGACCGCCUGGGGAGUACGGCCGCAAGGUUAAAACUCAAAUGAAUUGACGGGGGCCCGCACAAGCGGUGGGAGCAUGUGGUUUAAUUCGAAGCAACGCGAAGAACCUUACCAGGCCUUGACAUCCAGUGAAUCUGCCAGAGAUGGCGGAGUGCNUUCGGGAACACUGAGACAGGUGCUGCAUGGCUGUCGUCAGCUCGUGUCGUGAACGGCNUGGGCNACACACGUGCUACAAUGGUCGGUACAAAGGGUUGCCAAGCCGCGAGGUGGAGCUAAUCCCAUAAAACCGAUCGUAGUCCGGAUCGCAGUCUGCAACUCGACUGCGUGAAGUCGGAAUCGCUAGUAAUCGCGAAUCAGAAUGUCGCGGUGAAUACGUUCCCGGGCCUUGUACACACCGCCCGUCACACCAUGGGAGUGGGUUGCACCAGAAGUAGNUAGUCUAACCUUCGGGAGGACGGUUACCACGGUGUGAUUCAUGACUGGGGUGAAGUCGUAACAAGGUAGCCGUAGGGGAACCUGUGGCUGGAUCACCUCCUUAAGCUU